rnacentral:rRNA from 1 species
UACGUAGGGUGCGAGCGUUAAUCGGAAUUACUGGGCGUAAAGCGUGCGCAGGCGGCUUUGCAAGACAGAUGUGAAAUCCCCGGGCUUAACCUGGGAACUGCAUUUGUGACUGCAUGGCUGGAGUGCGGCAGAGGGGGAUGGAAUUCCGCGUGUAGCAGUGAAAUGCGUAGAUAUCUGGAGGAACACCGGUGGCGAAGGCGGCAUCCUGGACCGACACUGACGCUGAGGAGCGAAAGCCAGGGGAGCAAACGGG